CCCCCAAUUCAGGUGAGAGGGCAUUGUUCGUCCACAAGGCAUCCGGCUGGGCUUGGGGGCAAAACAUGUAAUUACGGGACAAGCCCACUAAAAUAAGGGAGGUGAGGCAGAUGGAUUUCUUGCUCUCACCGACGUCUGGGCCAAACACAUGAAGGAGGAGCCUUGUGCAGCAGCCGGAGGCCGGCCUCUGCGCAGACCGCUGUUUCGUUUCCGCGCUGCUCUCCCGGCUCGGGAGGCGUCAGUGCCCAGUGGCCAGUCGGUCCCCUGGCUGCCGUGUCUGACAGGAUCUCAGACACACACCCUGCCCACGGGCUGUCCCUGGAGAAACAUCAGUGCUCAUUCCUGUCACCGUGACGCAUCCAUGCACGGCCGGGCUACAGGCAGCCCCGGUGUUCUCGGGGAAUGGCUGUCAGUCACCAGCAGUGCUACAGCCGGAGAGAUUACACGGCGCGCCGGCGAGCAGAUGGGCUUGGGCAGAAGCAGAGAGGACGCAGCUCCGGAGAACGCAAGCGGCACGGCCAGGCACACCACACGCUUCCAGCCAGUCUUGAGAAACUCCUCGCUUGCCGGAGAGUAA
rnacentral:lncRNA from 1 species